rnacentral:rRNA from 1 species
CAGUAGCCGCGGGAAUACGUAGGGUGCAAGCGUUAAUCGGAAUUACUGAGCGUAAAGCGUGCGCAGGCGGCUAUGCAAGACAGAUGUGAAAUCCCCGGGCUCAACCUGGGAACUGCAUUUGUGACUGCAUGGCUAGAGUACGGUAGAGGGGGAUGGAAUUCCGCGUGUAGCAGUGAAAUGCAUAGAUAUGCGGAGGAACACCGAUGGCGAAGGCAAUCCCCUGGACCUGUACUGACGCUCAUGCACGAAAGCGUGGGGAGCAAACAGGAUUAGAUACCCCCGUAGUCCCUGUCUCUUAUAA